rnacentral:lncRNA from 1 species
AAGAAGGCCAAGCAGCCCUGAGCCCCCACUGCUGCUAGGCCCACUCAUACGGUUCCUGGCACCCGGCACAUGUGCCACCCCACCCGACUUGACUUGAUUCCCACCCCACUUCGCUUGACAUUUUGGGGAGUGUGUUCCUGAAUCCUAUGGCUCCAUAAUAGGUCUGAGGCUACCUGGUCAGGCCGCCACCCAUCUCAGACCUGACCCCUCCCCAGCUCCGUCACUGCCCCUCCCAGGGUCCAGUUUGGAAACCAUCCUCCCUUAAGUGCCACUGACGGGUAUCUAACUCCUUUUUUUCUUUUCUUCCUUCUGGUCUAAACAGAAGCUGUGGUUUCCUCUGUAUUCCUGGUAAUUAGAGAGGCCAGAAAAGCCACUGAGAUGGUAGGAAGGGCUAGAGGGAGAGGUGGAAGGUUAGAGGCUGGGGGAGCAGCCCGGAACCUCUAAGAGCUUCAAGUGCCCUCCAGCGCUGUGAGACAAGCUCCCCAGACCCUUCCACCACCACCUCCUGCCUCUGCCUCCUCCUCACACCAAACUCCAGAGGUGGCAGAGGCCUUGAGGAAUUCUAGAAUGUUAGAACUGGACAGCUCUUUAGAAAGAAAAACUCCUACUGCCUCAUAAUGGAACUAUGUAAGUUGUGAUGGUGAUACAGAAUUAAAACCAUCUUAUUUAUAAA